UACAUGGGGUGCAAACGUUGCUCGGAAUUAUUGGGCGUAAAGCGCACGUAGGCGGUUCGUUAAGUCGGAUGUGAAAGCCCUCGGCUCAACUGAGGAAGUGCACCCGAAACUGGCGAGCUUGAGUACGAAAGAGGAUCGCGGAAUUCCCGGUGUAGAGGUGAAAUUCGUAGAUAUCGGGAGGAACACCGGUGGCGAAGGCGGCGAUCUGGGUCGAUACUGACGCUGAGGUGCGAAAGCCAGGGGAGCAAACGGG
rnacentral:rRNA from 1 species